GACGAACGCUGGCGGCGUGCUUAACACAUGCAAGUCGAGCGGUAAGGCCCUUUCGGGGGUACACGAGCGGCGAACGGGUGAGUAACACGUGGGUGACCUGCCCUCAGCUCUGGGAUAAGCCUGGGAAACCGGGUCUAAUACUGGAUAUGACUCCAUGACGCAUGUUGUGGGGUGGAAAGCCUUGUGCGGCUGAGGAUGGGCCCGCGGCCUAUCAGCUUGUUGGUGGGGGAUGGCCUACCAAGGCGACGACGGGUAGCCGGCCUGAGAGGGCGACCGGCCACACUGGGACUGAGACACGGCCCAGACUCCUACGGGAGGCAGCAGUGGGGAAUCUUGCGCAAUGGGCGAAAGCCUGACGCAGCGACGCUGCGUGAGGGAUGACGGCCUGGUGU
rnacentral:rRNA from 1 species